GACAGAGGGUGCAAACGUUGUUCGGAAUUACUGGGCGUAAAGCGCGUGUAGGCGGCUAAGUAAGUCGGGCGUGAAAUCCCACGGCUCAACCGUGGAAGUGCACUCGAAACUGCAUAGCUAGAGUCCUGGAGAGGAAGGUGGAAUGCUUGGUGUAGAGGUGAAAUUCGUAGAUAUCGAGAGGAACACCGGUGGCGAAGGCGGCCAACUGGACGAAUACUGACGCUGAGACUCGAAAGCGUGGGGAGCAAACAGG
rnacentral:rRNA from 1 species